GGCAAGGUAGCUCAGUGGUAGAGUGCUUGCCUUGCAUGCAUAAGGCCCUGGGUUCGAUUCCUCAGCACCA
rnacentral:tRNA from 1 species